rnacentral:rRNA from 1 species
CAGUAGCCGCGGUAAUACAGAGGGUGCGAGCGUUAAUCGGAUUUACUGGGCGUAAAGCGUGCGUAGGCGGCUAAUUGAGUCGGAUGUGAAAUCCCCGAGCUUAACUUGGGAAUUGCAUUCGAUACUGGUUAGCUAGAGUGUGGGAGAGGAUGGUAGAAUUCCAGGUGUAGCGGUGAAAUGCGUAGAGAUCUGGAGGAAUACCGAUGGCGAAGGCAGCCAUCUGGCCUAACACUGACGCUGAGGUACGAAAGCAUGGGGAGCAAACAGGAUUAGAUACCCGCGUAGUCCCUGUCUCUUAUAU